rnacentral:rRNA from 1 species
UCGAACGAGAGUUUUUAACUCUAGUGGCGAACGGGUGCGUAAUACGUGAGAAUCUGCCCUUAGGAGAAGAAUAACUACUGGAAACGGUAGCUAAGUCUUCAUAUGCCGAGAGGUGAAAUAGUUUCAACUGCCUAAGGAUGAGCUCACGCCUGAUUAGCUUGUUGGUGAGGUAACGGCUUACCAAGGCCACGAUCAGUAGCUGGUUUGAGAGAACGAUCAGCCACACUGGGACUGAGACACGGCCCAGACUCCUCCGGGAGGCAGCAGUGAGGAAUUUUCCGCAAUGGGCGAAAGCCUGACGGAGCAAUACCGCGUGAGGGAUGAAGGAUUUUGGUCUGUAAACCUCUUUUCUCAAGAAAGAAGUUCUGACGGUACUUGAGGAAUAAGCAUCGGCUAACUCCGUGCCAGCAGCCGCGGUAAUACGGGGGAUGCAAGCGUUAUCCGGAAUCAUUGGGCGUAAAGCGCCUGUAGGUUGUUUAGUAAGUCUGUUGUUAAAGACCAGGGCUUAACCCUGGGAAAGCAAUGGAAACUACUAGACUUGAGUAUGGCAGGGGUAGAGGGAAUUUCUAGUGUAGCGGUGAAAUGCGUAGAUAUUAGAAAGAACACCGGCGGCGAAAGCGCUCUACUGGACCAUUACUGACACUCAGAGGCGAAAGCUAGGGGAGCAAAAGGGAUUAGAU